UAGAGUUUGAUCCUGGCUCAGGAUGAACGCUGGCGGCGUGCCUAGUACAUGCAAGUCGAACGCACAGCGAUAGGUGCUUGCACCUAUCAAGUGAGUGGCGAACGGGUGAGUAACACGUGGACAACCUGCCUCAAGGCUGGGGAUAACAUUUGGAAACAGAUGCUAAUACCGAAUAAAACUUAGUAUCGCAUGAUAUAAAGUUAAAAGGCGCUACGGCGUCACCUAGAGAUGGAUCCGCGGUGCAUUAGUUAGUUGGUGAGGUAAAGGCUCACCAAGACAAUGAUGCAUAGCCGAGUUGAGAGACUGAUCGGCCACAUUGGGACUGAGACACGGCCCAAACUCCUACGGGAGGCUGCAGUAGGGAAUCUUCCACAAUGGGCGCAAGCCUGAUGGAGCAACGCCGCGUGUGUGAUGAAGGCUUUCGGGUCGUAAAGCACUGUUGUAUGGGAAGAACAGCUAGAAUAGGGAAUGAUUUUAGUGUGACGGUGCCAUACCAGAAAGGGACGGCUAAAUACGUGCCAGCAGCCGCGGUAAUACGUACGUCCCGAGCGUUAUCCGGAUUUAUUGGGCGUAAAGCGAGCGCAGACGGUUGUUUAAGUCUGAUGUGAAAGCCCGGAGCUCAACUCCGGAAAGGCAUUGGAAACUGGACAACUUGAGUGCAGUAGAGGUAAGUGGAACUCCAUGUGUAGCGGUGGAAUGCGUAGAUAUAUGGAAGAACACCAGCGGCGAAGGCGGCUUACUGGACUGUAACUGACGUUGAGGCUCGAAAGUGUGGGUAGCAAACAGGAUUAGAUACCCUGGUAGUCCACACCGUAAACGAUGAACACUAGGUGUUUAGGAGGUUUCCGCCUCUUAGUGCCGAAGCUAACGCAUUAAGUGUUCCCGCCUGGGGAGUACGACCGCAAGGUUGAAACUCAAAGGGAAUUGACGGGGNACCCCCACANGCGG
rnacentral:rRNA from 1 species